rnacentral:lncRNA from 1 species
AUUUUUGCGGUGAAUGGACAGGAAGAUUUGUUUCUAAAUGCUUGAGAAAAUAAAGAGAAACCUGUUUAAAACUGCUUUUUUGAAACUAUGGUUUGGCUAGUAGGCCAGAAUAAAUCAUUAAGUCAUGUCUAAUGGUACCCUCCGCAACACGCAACCAAGCACUUUGCAAAGCCUGAUGGGUGGAUUGAGAAUUUGGGUUUUUUUCCCCCUGAAUGAAUUUUUCAUUGUAAUUUCUGUUUCUUUAUAUUUUGAUUGGAGAUUGAGACAAUGGAAACAAUCUGUAAUUUUCUCCUUGAAAACCAGCCAACAAACCAAAUCUUCUAUUAUCUUGAUAAAUAUUAACUUCUGCUGAUCUUUAAAUGUAUUAGUGGAACAGAAUGCAGGUUUUAAAAAGAUAGUACAGAAGUUAUUUUCCUGCAAUUGACUGCAUAGUACACGGUGGAAUCCUGCAAACAUUGAUAUAUACGAAUAGUUCUAACUGAAAAUGCUGGAAGCCUUGGAACAAAGGCCAGUCUUCUCAUAGGCUGCCACUGUGAGAGAAGUCUGGAAAACCUUAGAAGUGGACCGGUGCAGGAAAUAUCGAGAUGGGCUGAGCCAUGACCAGGAGCCAUCUAGGUGCAGGAUGCCUAGAGACGAAUGAUAGGGAAAAAGGUCUCUGUGACAUCGGUCCCUACUGGCACUGACUAUACAAGUGGAGAGAUACCUAGACAGAAGAAGGGAGCAUGCUAUAUUCCAUCUGUUCUCAAGCAGUCCUGGGCUGUGAGCCACCCGAGCCUGGCAUUGUGUCAUUGGACUUUCAUAACAGCAAGAUGGCCUCAUUACCAUGUGCACAGGCAGCCUUCAGUGAAUGCCAGCUCAUACCACGCAUCUGACAUCAAUUUGGGAAUAAAGCAUUUGAAAAAUGACAAUGUUAGUAGUUUGGAAGUGGAAUUGUACUUUUGA